UGCAAGUCGAACGGAGCUGAGAGGAGCUUGCUUUUCUUAGCUUAGUGGCGAACGGGUGAGUAACGCGUGAGUAACCUGCCCUGGAGUGGGGGACAACAGUUGGAAACGACUGCUAAUACCGCAUAAGCCCACGGCCCGGCAUCGGGCUGAGGGAAAAGGAUUUAUUCGCUUCAGGAUGGACUCGCGUCCAAUUAGCUAGUUGGUGAGGUAACGGCCCACCAAGGCGACGAUUGGUAGCCGGACUGAGAGGUUGAACGGCCACAUUGGGACUGAGACACGGCCCAGACUCCUACGGGAGGCAGCAGUGGGGGAUAUUGCACAAUGGGGGAAACCCUGAUGCAGCGACGCCGCGUGGAGGAAGAAGGUUUUCGGAUUGUAAACUCCUGUCGUUAGGGACGAUAAUGACGGUACCUAACAAGAAAGCACCGGCUAACUACGUGCCAGCAGCCGCGGUAAAACGUAGGGUGCAAGCGUUGUCCGGAAUUACUGGGUGU
rnacentral:rRNA from 1 species